rnacentral:rRNA from 1 species
UGGGGAAUAUUGGACAAUGGGGGCAACCCUGAUCCAGCCAUGCCGCGUGAGUGAUGAAGGCCUUAGGGUUGUAAAGCUCUUUCGCCGGUGAAGAUAAUGACGGUAGCCGGUAAAGAAGCCCCGGCUAACUUCGUGCCAGCAGCCGCGGUAAUACGAAGGGGGCUAGCGUUGUUCGGAAUUACUGGGCGUAAAGCGCGCGUAGGCGGAUCUUUAAGUCAGGGGUGAAAUCCCGGGGCUCAACCUCGGAAUUGCCUCUGAUACUGGAGAUCUUGAGUUCGAGAGAGGUGAGUGGAACUCCGAGUGUAGAGGUGAAAUUCGUAGAUAUUCGGAAGAACACCGGUGGCGAAGGCGGCGACCUGGUCCGGUACUGACGCUGAGGCGCGAAAGCGUGGGGAGCAAACAGGAUUAGAUACCCCGGUAGUCC